ACUAUAACUAAACCCUGCUAGACAUAACACCCCUCCCCUCCUGGAUCACGCAAGUGUAAUCGUUAAGGUACGCUGGGCGCCUGCGUGUUCGUCCGGACCGUCGUAGUUCAGGUUCGAUAACAGGUGCAGCUGAUUCCGGCAUGGAUGGAGAAGAGAACGGUACAAUUGACGGAUUGUUCCCUGUAACAGACUUCCCAGCCUCGGACUCUACCUCAGGUUUCUUUAGGAUCCAGAAAGAAUAUUGCAAAUAUGACCUGGGAGUUCUGCUCCAUGGGUUUCAUAUGGUGGAGUAUUCUCAUUAUUAUUAAGAUUUAUUGGAUUUUUACGUUAUGAAACAAGUCUAGAAAUGUUCAAAGAAAUCAAUUUGGACCUGAUUACUUAUGGCACAAACUUUCUCCAAUUGUUCUCUGCCCGUCCAGUAAGAGUGGACACAGUUGGUAUCCUCAAGUUUUCCUUAAUAAGAAAUGUCGCCUUAAUGGAUCCCAGAGGCAGCAUUCCUUCUGAGGUCCUUAUGGACCUGACUUUGCUAUCAUUCAGAAGAUUCUGAAGACUUUACUCUUCCAGUAGUACUUGAAUUGGGACAAUUUGUGAAUCUAUUAUUAUUAUGGGUGUUUGGCAGCGGUGGGUUUCCAAUAUACUUACCACCAGUUCGCUGUGCAUGCGCACGCUUGCUUCACGUGCGUGCCUUCCACACAUACUCUCCACCUUCUGUGCAUGCACUUUGCUUGCUCGUACCUAAAUAGGACGGCAUAGAGCCGGGGUGGAUGGGUGGGGACGAUCUCCGCUAUCGGUUUGCUUGAACCAGUACAAGCCAGCUGAGUACCACCUCUGGUGUUUAGAGUUUUGCUGGAGUCCUUGACUUUGUUCUUUCGUGGCUAGAUGGUGUUUUUAGCCCACUUUAUAUCUGACUUGAGUUUCUUCAUAAUCCUAGAAACGAAGUAAAUAAUAACUGUGCAAAAUCUCUACAAGGUGACGUGAUUCUGGGGUAUCUUUUACUUAUGCACGACAGAGAUAGAACUACGCCUGAUUUCUGCUUGUUCUCUAGAUUUAUAAGGAAAUGUUUCCUUUGCUUGAAUACUCUGAAGAUAGCAGUCCAAGUUUCUGACCUCCAUUCAAUUCUCAUAAAAGUCAGAGUCAUACCUGAGGACACCAACAAUGCUUUUCAUGGCUUGCCUUGCCCUGAUCCACUCAGACUGCCACACACACCACACCGUGAUUGAAAUAAUCGAAGCUAAACAUACUAACCAUCAAUGUGGAAUGAAAAUGUGAAUCCAAAAAAUGAAAUUAAAAAAAACAAAAACCCUUUAAUAGGAAAUAAGUCAUGGAUGGCUGUUUAAAGGUAUUGAGCUGGAAAAGUAAUAUAAUUUGAUUUCAUCUGGACUGCCAGGAACAAGAACAGCAUAUUGUGUUCUGUCCUUUUCUUCAGCAGACGUCGUGGCAUUUACAGCAGCCAUGUUCUCCUACAAAGACGGCAGGGUGGCUCCCACACUUCUUUGCCUGUUUCUCCCAUUUCUCUCUAUUUCUGAAUGUUCUUUUCUAAUUAAACAUUCUGAAUCCUUCAAGAGUUUCAAGCUCCUUCAAAGAUAUCCCUUUUAAUGAUUACCAUGGCAACUGUAUCACCUACAAAAGAGUUUUUCUACCUUUCUUCUGAGUGCUUGGUGGAAAUGCUAAAGAAUGGAAUAUUACAGCCACAUCAACAUAGCAAAUGACUGUCAGAACAAAGAGAAGCUUUUAAAUAUUUGCCUCUUGUGACUUUUUCCUGAAUAAUUACCAUUUCUUACUUAUUGAAAAGAAGAAAUCAAUAAAGGAGUGCACACACACUUGUUUGCGUGUGCAUGCAUGCCUGGCCAAGAGAAAUGGUUGAUUGCCAAGAGAACAAAUUACCUUUUACUAGUUUUUCUCUCUUUAUUCAAUCUUACAUUUAUCUUGUGUUUUCUUGACUUCAGCAGUAGCAAUUCUUUUUUUCUUCUGUCUGCAUUGUUGCAUUCACUUCUUGUCCAAACAUUUGAAACAGAUAAAGUAACUGUUUCUCGUUUAUCUUCGUACCGUUUAACUGACAUACCAAUCUGCUUUCCCUUUGUAAUGAUUUGUCUAUUUGACACAGAAAAGCUUUGCUCCUGUUGGUUGCCUUUGUUGUUUGACUAUCUGACUAUAAAUACUGUUUGUAAGUCUCUCUCUAACAAUGCUUAGGGCCUCUCUUAGUUGAUGACGUGGUUAAAAUUAUCAGAACAAGAAGUUGAGAUUUAGUAUAUAUAAACAGUUCAGUGUAGUCCUGAAAAUUAAAACACAUGAACAUGAAA